rnacentral:rRNA from 1 species
CCUACGGGCGGCAGCAGUGAGGAAUAUUGGUCAAUGGGCGGAAGCCUGAACCAGCCAAGUCGCGUGAGGGAUUAAGGCCCUGCGGGUCGUAAACCUCUUUUGCCGGGGAGCAGUGGUCCGGACGAGUCCGGGCCGGGAGAGUACCCGGAGAAAAAGCAUCGGCUAACUCCGUGCCAGCAGCCGCGGUAAUACGGAGGAUGCGAGCGUUAUCCGGAUUUAUUGGGUUUAAAGGGUGCGUAGGCGGGCAUUUAAGCCGGCGGUCAAAUGUCGGGGCUCAAACCCGGCCUGCCGUCGGAACUGGGUGCCUUGAGUGGGCGAGAAGUAUGCGGAAUGCGUGGUGUAGCGGUGAAAUGCAUAGAUAUCACGCAGAACCCCGAUUGCGAAGGCAGCAUACCGGCGCCCGACUGACGCUGAGGCACGAAAGUGCGGGUAUCGAACAGGAUUAGAUACCCGAGUAGUC